UACAGAGGGUGCGAGCGUUGUCCGGAAUCACUGGGCGUAAAGGGCGCGUAGGUGGCUUGGUAAGCGUGUGGUGAAAGUCCGGGGCUCAACCCCGGAUCGGCCAUGCGAACUGCCCGGCUGGAGCACGGUAGAGGCCAAUGGAAUUCCGGGUGUAGCGGUGGAAUGCGUAGAGAUCCGGAAGAUCACCGGUGGCGAAGGCGGGUCUCUGGGCAGUAACUGACGCUGAGGAGCGAAAGCGUGGGGAGCGAACAGG
rnacentral:rRNA from 1 species